AGAACUGGUGUUCAUAAUAUGUAUGACAUCAUACAUGGAAGACAAGACUUUCAAUUUGUUCAUCAUUUUUAGAGGGAAAACAAUUUUCUUGAAGUCAACAGAAAAUACACAUCAAGGUUUGAACAGAUAUGGCAUGAGGAACUUUAUUAUGAAUGAAAUACUUGUAGGUUCUGUGCCAAUUUUCCACCACUGUGUACUUCAUUGCUAUUUAAAACUGUACUCCAUCAAUUCUAACGGAAGAAUAAAUUAUUUGUGGUUUUAAUUUUCUCAUUUGUUUCUUUAAAUUAGAUCCCUAUCACUCUUAUGUCUCAUCUGGAGACUCUGCUGUGGGUUUUUAUUUUAUAGAAGUUUGGCCAGAAUAACCAAACUGUAUUUGCAUUCUAGGACUUUAUCAAAAUUCUCUUGCCAUAGCCAAGUUAAUUAGAAUUAACUGUUCAGUAAUCAGCAUGUUGUGUAGGCUGUUUGUUACAAAAUUCUUCCUCUGAAAAUGAAGGUCCAUGAGGCUAUAAUCAAGAUGACUGAAUUAGAUAAAUGAGUUGAGGAGGCAAAAAUGUGUUGAACCCAACCUGUUGUAGAUACGUUAUCUCAUUUGAAAUAAGCUCAACUGACAUUAAGAAAUAAUUUGUCUUGCCAGCCCAUCUUCUGUUGUCUUACUCUCCUUUUUAAUGGAAACUAAAAUUGCAAUUUUAAUAAGCAGAAUUUCCUCCAGGGUUUCCCUCCUAGAGACUACUGCAUUUGCAAGGUUUAAUUGUUUUAUAACGGUCCUGUUUUGUAAAACUUUUUAAUUGGUGGUGACAAAAAUUACCUUAUUCCUCUGAUACUAUGCCAGAAGAACAACUUGAGAGGAGAUGGCUCCAUGCAAAAGUAUUUCUACUAAAAUUAUAUAUUAGAAAAGAACCCUUUUUCCCUAAACCAAAAAGAAGCAGGAAUUAGGAUGAAAUAGAAAGAUACAAGGUUCAUUUUAGUAAGUAUUCUUUACUAAAUAAAAUCUAACCAAUAGGAAACUAGUAAAAAAGGUGUUGUGUUCGGCAUUUCACAUGUAGAAUGUAGAAAAUAAGACCUAAGAGGGGACUGACACAGCAAAUCAAAUAUGUGAACAGAAAUUAUACGAAUGUUCAAAGAGUAAAGAGGAAGAGUUAAUGAUUUAAGUGACUUUUAGUUAUCAUAGUGUUGUGAUUUUUGCCAUCAUACUUUGCUUUUCCUUUUCAGACGGUUUUAUUUCCCUUUCUGCUCUGUGAGGCACUUGCAGAAGGGAGAAGCUGGCUCACGGAUUCAAAUGAAAUUGACUUCACAAUGUUGUAACAUAAGUAAGCAAACAUGCCGCUUCAUAGAGCAAGAUAAAUGUAUCUUUUUGCAAAUAGUUGCGCUUUCAUUUUCAUAUCUAAAAUUGCUUUUAAAUGUUUAAAUUAAUUGAUAUUUUUUGGAGAAAAAUACUCCUGAUUAAAGAGAGGCAAGGACUUCAGUGCAAAAAUAUCAUUGUGUUCUACACUUCUUACCACAGAGGAUGCUGAAACACUUUGAUGUAAUUUAAAAAAAAAACAAAACAAAACAAAAAAAACAAAACACACAGAUUUUGAGUCCAAAAAAAGGAGAGAAUACUUAAAUUUGCAAAGUGAAGAGAAAUUGUUACAUCGGCAAGUCCGUGUAGAAUUCAGCCAGAAGCCGUGAGGAAUUUUAUAAAGAAAGCUGAUUUUCCUAUUUGGGCAACAGUUGCUGUCUCAUGAAAUAGAAGCAUAAGGGUGAAAUCCGAUGAAAUGGACCCAAACAGACCUUCUGAAAUGGAAUAGAUAACUGGAUAAAGUACAGCAAACAAGGAAGGCAGAAAACCAGGAAUUUUAUGUGAGACCCACUUUGCUGAGGAAGGAACAUGGAACAUGGAGGGCUUGAACAUUAAUAUGUACAGAACUUUUCUCAGGAAGACCAAUGAACUGAAGAGAAUACUUUGUCAGUGCAUAAGGCAGUAUGUCUUCUCUGAGGUAUGGAAGGUUGACCGACUGAGAGUCUGUGGCAAUAAUAAAUGGAAAGAGAGCAAAUGCUGUCAUCGUGGUGAAAGUUUACUAUAGACUUUCAAUUAGAUCUGCCUGUAUUGUAACUGUGCAAACACCUCUUGGGAAGGGGAUGCAGCAGCAUACAGGCAGUUUCCUAGGAGAGUUUUGAUACAGAAGGCAUGGAGAAAGCAAGAAAAUAGAAAAGGUCUUCUGUGUUCAUUCUCACCAGCGAAGAGGAAUCACCUCUCCAUGCAGGACUUAAAGGCAGCUUGAGUAAGAGAUCAUAAGGUGGUAAGAGUUUACUCUUAAAAAAGGAAGGGAAGAGAGGAGCAAAUAAUACUUUGAACAGCAGAACCAACGUUGCCCAUUUUCGCGUAGUAGUAUCAAAAAUAAGUAAAUGGUUGGAUUCUCUGAUGCCUAAUGACUUGAGCUCUAACAACAGCCUUUGCUGAACUGAGGUAUUUAUCAAAUCUCUUUUCUUUCCUAAUUGGGUUGUUUCAUGAUUCUUGUAGGUAUGUAAUGUCUUGAAACAUCUCUCUCAGAGUUGAGUUAAAUUUGUCAAAUUUGGUUGAAAUUUGUCGAGGAAUUCAUUUUUCCUCAGGAAGCCUAAUAAACAGCAAACUAUCACAAAGAUGACGUCUGUAACCUCAGAGAAUGAAGAGGAAACAUGUCAUGGGGAAAAAAGCCUAAAGAAAAAGGAGUUCAGGAGAGCUGGCAGGUCCUUAAAGAAAUUAUACUGUGAGUAGAAGUACAAAUUAUCCCAAUGUGGAGGAUCAAGGGCUCAUCAGUGCCUCCAAACAAAAGAGGAAGUGCACAGAAAGCUCUCAUUGUUAGGAUUAAGCUUGCAAGUAUAGUAGAACACCUUGAAAUAAAAUUAAAGCAAGCCACAAAAUGAAAUACAGCUAUUCAGAGAUACUGGUAGAAAAGGAAGAGGUGGUCCAUUACUUCACAGAGAACAACAGCUGUAGACAGUGUUGCUGAGGAGUAUUCAACCUUAGGACAUUACUCCUAGACUUUGGUAGGAAUAAUCAGUUACACAAAUACCUGAUGAGGUAUUAGGUUCAUUAGGUACAUCUAACUCUAUUACAGUUACGGCAAAUGAUUAGAUUGCUACCCCUAUUUUAGGAUCAAGGAACUAGUAAAAUAACAGCAAUCACAAUGAUACAGUCUAGAUUUGUUAUCUUACUGCCUGUAUCAGACCAAUUUAUGGCAGGAGAAAAGACAGCGGGCACAUUAGAGGUAGGCUCUUGGUGGGGUAAUUAUCCCCAAAUGACUUCUGGCAAGAGGUGAGUAUGGAGAGAUGAUGGUGGGUGGAUCUCAGAGGGGAAUAACGUGUAUUGAUCGUAUUUAUCAAACACAGUGAGCUGACCACAAGAUCCAUAAUAGUGUAUUGGCUCAUUAUAGUACAAAACAUAUAUUAGCUCUAACAUAGAUUACACCUUUACUUUUUAAUUCCCACCGCCGCUGAGGGAGCCAUGAACUUCCAGCAAAGGAUCUGACCAGGAGGGAGUAAAUAAAUGGUCUUGCAGGGAACCUGCCAGAUGCUGCAUCCCAUGGAAAUGAAUGCUGGGAAGCCAGUAGGUGAAACUCUCAUUUUCAACAUCAGUCGCUACUGCUGUUCAGUUGUGCUAUUACUCCUUUUUAACUUAUGAAAGCAUCCUUUAAUUUUAAAUUUUGCCUACACAAAUUCAUGAUGUUGUGAUUCAGAGGGUCCUAUGCUCCGAGUGAUUUUCCCCCUUAUGAAGCAUCACUGCAAGUUUCCCAGUUGGUGCUGAGAAGCUGUGGCUUUCGGGAAGGUGAGAAUCCAAGUUCUCUGCUAAAUAGGCUGGUUUUCAACCCAUAGAAGAUGGUGGUGCUUUUUCUCUUUUUGAUACUGAGAACCUAAUGAAGCUCAGGAUAUCCUUCCACCAUCUUCAGCUGAGCUGGAGAUGUCCUGGCGGGAGCUGCAGGCAGCGCCUGUGCUAGGGAGGGAGGCUGUAUCACUGGCACAAGAGGAAUUCCUGUUCCCCAGACACCCUUGCGUGAACAGGGAGGAAGAGGGGGUGGUCUUCCUCUUUCUCUGGAAGAGCUGGGUGCCAAGCAUAGGGGGACAGCAAUUCCUAGGGUGGGGAGUACUUGGGGUGGCACAGCAGAGUCCCUGCAAGGCACAGAGCUCAGCGGGAACUGUUUCUCAGUUAUUGACACGCGCCUCCUGCUU